CUUUCUAGGGCUAAGGGGUAAAGUGCUUGACUAACAUGCAAGAGACCCUGGGUUCAAUUCCCAGCAGCAAGA
rnacentral:tRNA from 1 species